UGAUGUCAUCACUUUGGGUAUUAGGCAUGUGCAUCUCAAAGUCAUCUUUAAUCAGCAAUGGUUUGUUACCGAUUAUGAUGUCAUCAUCAUUACGCACACAGAGUUGUACAACAGGAUUUCAGCUUAUGGGCAGUUUGUAUUAGCCAUAGAAAUGAGCCAUCUCUCUCCUAUUCACAGACUCAUUCAAAGAAAGUCUGGAAUCCUGCACCUAGCAAGACCACAUUCCUCUCUUUCGCUCAUAUCGUUCAUGUGAGGGUUGGAGACCAAGAGCUUUGUAUAGUUUUUUAAGCUCCCUGCAUAUUUCUUCCAGCAUAGCUGAGGCCCUUUCAAGCUUAUCUCCAAACCCAUAAUGACGAAAAAUAUCAGUUUCCAAAUGAAAGCUCAGAAGCGCAGCAUGCUAAAUUCAGGACUGCCUACAGAAUCCCACUCUUGCUCAGUGCAAUCAAGGGUGUGCAGAAUACCUCAUCCCUUUUGGCCACUACUGUGGGCUUUCCUGAGCAUCAUCUCCAUUGGUAAUCUCAGUGAGCCAACCCAUCUGUCUUUUUGUGUCCAGAGGAGGUACAGUUUGCUGUCUGCUCACCUUGUGGGGAAGCAUUUGAUGGCCUACUGAAAAGAAGAAUCCAGGAGGUUUGGAAAGCAGUGGCCAAAGAGGUUGAAGGACUACAUGGUUCCAUGAUCCAGAAGGAAAACUCAGUACAGAGCCUCUCUCAAGAAGUCCUUGAAAGUAAGAAGUUUCUUUGGGAGGAGCUGGAAGCAGUGCAGGGUGAACUGCGGUGCAUCCAUCAGAAAUUGAAGGACCAGGAGGUUGGCAUCACGAGGAACCUGGUCAGCAUUAAGAAAAUGCAGGAGAACCAAAUGAAAUGCACCAGGGUGAGUUGUGUGUCUCCACUUGGUUUAGUUCUUGAAAUCAGAAUCAGUAGCUAUGCAGGAGGGUUUUUGGCCUUUGGUUCUCGCACGCCUACUCUCUCCAUUUGUCCGUCUAUCCAUCCAUUCACCCAGAUCUAUCAUGUUUCAAGAGACCCAGACAACGGCAGCCAUUUCUAGGAUGAGAGCAGAAAAACAAGAACCCAUGUUUGAGGGUUGGGCCCUGUAACUUGGUUUAUAUGAUAAGGGGGGAAGAGAGGAGAGAGCGUAGCUUUUCUAGUGCUUGUCCCAUAUGCCUGUCCCGCCCUGCGCAUUCAGAUAGAAUUGAGACAUUCACCCAUCUCCCUGCAGUGUCGCACUUCCCACCAAGAACGCCAACAAUGCUGGCCAUCUGCUUCCCAAUUGUAUUAGCUUGUGCCUUUUCCUUGCCUGCUAGCUCCUGACCCAGCUGAGAGGCAAAAUCCCAGAAGAUACACCAGAAACUGUGAAUAACAAGCCAGUGUCGGAAGAGCUGAAUGACAUCUGGUAAGAGCAGUUCUGCCACACGCACGCUCCGGGAGUUGAUCCAGGGGGAGACUUUUCUUUUUUCUGGAGACGUAGGUUACCUCAAGGUGUCUUGAGGAAUGGGGGAAAGGCUUUGGGGAUUUCCGUGUCAUGUAUCUUGUAUUGAGUGUCGGACUCUGAUUAUGAAUCAAUAGUUAUCCCUGUCUGGAAGGGAAAGGAGGGACUCCUUUCAAGGCAAAAGAAGGAGGUCUCGAAGAGAAACCCAUGUGGCCAUUUUCCUAGGAUCUCUCUUGGAUAAUAUUCUAAGGAGACUCAAUCAGAAGGUGGUGGUAUUUGUGUGGAGGGGGAGAUGGGAGCCAGAAGCAAGAGUUUCAGUCUGUGUAGUUAGCUACCAAAGUGAAAGGAAAUAGGCAGCCUCACGGCUCUUUAAUUUCAGCGUCAGGUGAUCUUUGGAGGAAAUCAUGGGAGGCUUUCUGUGUCUUCCCCUCCACACAGGUCCGCUAUCAACACCCUGCGCAACUCCAUCACCAGCUGGCGUGACAAGAGAGGAUCUUCGAGAAUGAAAGGCAAGUGCUGGCACUGGACAUGGUGACCCCUAUGAUGAAGAAUGUGGACGUGGGCCACCCUGGGCUAUUACCACGAGGAUGCCACACUUUUGUGAUCAUCAGAAGGUGGUGGUCAUGGGGAUCAUGAUGAAUUGGGGUGGGUAGGAGACAUUACUUUUUAGAUUAAAGCCCCCCAAAUCCCUCAGCCAGCGUGCCCGGUGAUUACGUUGGCUGUCAGCUUCUGGGAGCGGUCAUCCAAAGUAAUGUUUCCCGUCUCUGAAGCAGGGAUAUUUGAGCUGAGGACACCAGAAUGGGGACAGAGGGGAUUGGUUUCAAUUUUUUGUAUGCUACUGGUUAGAAUCCUAUGGGGAUCCUAAGUAUCCUUGUGUUACUCACAGUGGCCAGUCGAUAAGUUUCCACUUGCAUUUCUGGUUGGCUGCCACGUUGUGCGACUGGCAUGUGACCAGGAAUGAAAGCAGCAACAUGCUGAUUAGUGGCGAUUUGUAAUUCUGAGCACUGUUUGCAUUUUUUCUAAAUUUUGUCACCUUAAGGGUUCCUUCCCCCCCUCCCCAAAAGGCUAGAAAACAACUCUCAAGGAACAUUAGAAAUAAACAAAUGAGGCACCAAGCUACGGAGGCUCUC
ensembl:lncRNA